AGUGAACGCUGGCGGUAGGCCUAACACAUGCAAGUCGAACGGCAGCACAGGAGAGCUUGCUCUCUGGGUGGCGAGUGGCGGACGGGUGAGGAAUACAUCGGAAUCUGCCCAGUCGUGGGGGAUAACGUAGGGAAACUUACGCUAAUACCGCAUACGACCUUCGGGUGAAAGAGGGGGAUCGCAAGACCUCUCGCGAUUGGAUGAGCCGAUGUCGGAUUAGCUAGUUGGCGGGGUAAUGGCCCACCAAGGCGACGAUCCGUAGCUGGUCUGAGAGGAUGAUCAGCCACACUGGAACUGAGACACGGUCCAGACUCCUACGGGAGGCAGCAGUGGGGAAUAUUGGACAAUGGGCGCAAGCCUGAUCCAGCCAUACCGCGUGGGUGAAGAAGGCCUUCGGGUUGUAAAGUCCUUUUGUUGGGAAAGAAAUCUUUCAGGCUAAUACCCUGGGAGGAUGACGGUACCCAAAGAAUAAGCACCGGCUAACUUCGUG
rnacentral:rRNA from 1 species